rnacentral:lncRNA from 1 species
UAGAGCGUAACUUGUGUGCAGAAGGCCGGACGGGUCACAGAGGUGACUCCGGUAGAGUGAUAAUGAUAGAUUUUGAGCUCUAGGUUCAACCGUAUAGGGCUAUUAGAGGGCCUACGGUUGAUUACUUUCUUGCACCUGAUAUGAUUAUGUUGAUGCAUUCAUACCUUAUUACUGUUGAGAUGAUGUGGCAUGGCAUAAUUAAUAUGAGAAAUGUUGAGAUGACAUGGCAUGGCAUGAUUGAUAAAGAAAAAUGUUGAGAUAGUAAAAAAUGAAGUUUGAGAAUAUAUAUGUAUAUUUAUAUUUUACAUUUCUGGGAAAGUAUACAGGUUUUACGGAGAGGGGUUACAACGUUUUGAGAAAUGUUUGGAUUUGGAAAAAGAAUUGUUUUACUGACCCACUCAAUUUUGGUUUUGCGCCCCUCCAGGUUCAGGAAUCACAAAGGUGUGGUGACUACGAGGAAUUCGACGGUGUUCUGACAGAUUGGACAAAAUUAGGACUCACCUUCGGGUGUAUCAAUUUAUAAAUUGUAUCUUAAAGCUUCCGUACUGUGCAAAUGGUUACGUCACUCUCACGUGACGGCCAGCAUGCCCUCCUUCGGGACGGGGUGGGGUGUGUCAGUUGGUAUCAGAGCAUGGUUGCAAUCUUGGACAUCUUGAGAAGUUUCUAGUGAAUUCUGUCAGAACUACACCGCCUCGUAGCAAACCACGUAGUUAGAGGAAUUUAGUCUCCCUGAUUUAGCGGGUUAGGGGAAACUAUUCUUAUGGUGAUUCAGUAUAUUAGAAAAAUGGACAUUUUAAGACGGGUUAUGAGUUGAAUUUGAAUCACUUAAGAGAAAUGAUGAACCUGAGGGAGCGAAGUAACGGUUUAACAUAACCAUUUGGAAAAGAUGUUUCGGAUUAUGCAAGUCAAAGGAAUCUUCCUUCUGACAAGGGGUCGAGAUGACUACCUGGUUUUGAGUUAUGAACGUGUAUCCUGGAUGGAAGCAGGAGUAUUAAUUGUUGUCACCAGAGGAAUCAGCCGAUUUAAAAUUGUUUAAGGACUUGUUUAAGGAAAAGUUUUAUCCCUCCGGCAUUUAUCGAUGGUAGUAAACAAGAGUUUACAAAUAUGAGACAAGGAAGGUGAUGAUCGAGGGAUAUUAUAGAAAGUUUUCAGACUUGCCUCGUUCCAUCCAGAUAUUGUUGUUAAUUUGGUGGAGGUGUUAUGUUGUUUUAAGCUGGGUGGCAAAAAAGGGAAGUGGUAUUUUGGGUGACCACUAUCCAUUAUACUUCUUACCAGGAAUAUACGAGAUGCUGUUGAGUCUUGAGGACUCUGAGAACAUGAGCAACGAGAAUAAAUAAGAAGAAUAAGAAAUGAAUGGGAAUUAAAAGAAGACGAUAAAGUUAAUGAUUCGUCAUAUCAAGGAUAUAGAAAGAUUCAGAGCUUCGAAAGAAGUGAAGCUAGAGUUAAUUCUUCCAGCUGAGGUUUUAAUGUCGCUGGUCAGAGUAAAAGUGAUGGAUAUACUGGUAAUCCCAGAUAUUUGAGACAAGGUGUCUCGAGUAAAGGAAAUGUACCUUGUGCAGCAGGUACAAAAUUAACACUUUGGGAAGUGUGAAAUUAAUGAAUGUGUUUAUGUGAACAGAGGGGACACAGAAUUGUGAAUCGUCCCUAGAAUCAGUUGUACCCAACAGUUUUUCUAUGACAUCAUAGUGUUGAUUCAGCAGAGUUAUGGAUUUAGUAGUUUGGUCGGAUUGACCGUGAGUACAGAGAGAUUUGAUGAGUUAUAUGUUCAGCCGUACAGACCAUGAGAAGUGGAUUCGAUUGACACAUGAGAAAUUGGUGAGUUAUAGGCUCGGCCGUACCGACCACGCGGAGUGGAUCCGGCCGACGUAUUAUUGAGAUAAGAGUUGAUCAUCCAGCCGUAUUGGUCAUUCUAGUUGACUUCGGCUGAUAUAUUUCUUAUUAUGUAUGUUAUUACCUAGAGAGUAGUAAAUAAAUGUAGUUGAGACGAGUGUAUGUAUUUUGCAUUGAGUGACAAAAUAGUAAUGUUAUAUCUUUGUGAGUGGUUGCCUACUUAUCGAGACAACGAUGAUUUAUCAGUAUUGCGGGCUGCAGACCGUAAUAUUAAUAACUCAUUCGUGGAUUCGUUAAGUAAGUAAACCGGUAGAUUAUGUUUUUGUACUUAUUCAGAAUGCUUAGUAGUAAUAGAGUAUGUAUUGUGUCGGUUAAAUUAUUUCCAUUAGAUUGGUUGGUUAUAAUUGUGACAAGACGGAAUGUUAAGGGAAACCAGUACUUUCCAUCGAUCUGGAUGACCAGAGAUUACUUUUGUAAGUAUGCAAAGUGGAUUGAGUUCAGCCAUUAUUUAUGCUGUGAGAGCAAAGAGAUUGUUUUCGAAAGGCUGUCAAAAAUACUUAGCUCAUGUGGUGCUAAAUGAUGUUGUUUGGAGUAGUGUGAAUAAUGUCGAAAGAGUUAGACUUUUCUUGAUGUCUUCCCUUGAAAGUAUACCUGGAUUGCCUUCAGGCAGAGAUAUGAGGUUCACUAUUGAUUUGUUGCCAGGUAUAAAUUUAUAUUGGAGAUUGGUUCAUGAUGAGUUAAGGGAAUUGGAAAUUCAGUUGAGGAAUUGGUUGAUAAAAGUUUUAUUCAACCUAGUACAACACUUUUGAGGAGCCCCAGUUUGUUGGUGAGGAAGAAAAUGGAUCUUGAGACUGUUCAUUGAUUAUAGACAAUGGAGUCGGGUAACGAUUGAGAACCGUUAUCCAUGGUGAUGUACUGAUGUUUAUUUAACCAGCUCAGAAGUAAUUGCGAAGAUUCAAAGAUUGAAUUGAGAUCUGGUUACUACCAAUUGAAUAUUAUAAGUGACGUUGAUCAUAAGAUGGUUUUCUGGACUUGUUAUGGUCCUUAUAAAGUUUGGUGAUGCUAUGUGGAUACUCAUGCGGUUUUAUGAGUUGAUGGAUGAAGUAUUCCAAUAAUGCCUUGAUAAUUGAUAUCAUUUUCAUUGAAGAUAUUCUGGCAUAUUCUGAGCCAGAGCAGAGCAUGUAAACGUAUUAAGUCGGUAGAAGCAAAGAUUGGAAGAACGUUGGAUUGUAUGCUAAGUUUAGCAAAUGCGAAUGUUGGAUGAAUCAAGCAGCAUUUCUGGGAUAUGUUAUAUAUUCUUAAGGUAUUCAAGUGAAUCCUUAAAAGGUAGCAGAAAUUGAAAAUUUGGAACAACCACGAGUCGUAAUUGAGAUUUGGAAUUUCUUAGCUUACCAGGCUAUCUUGGAUGGUUGUGAAAGAUUUUUCAGUCAUUGCUUUGUCAUUGACGAGACUGUUGAGAAAAGAGGUUAGGUAUGAGUGGGAAGGAAUUGUAAGCAAAGGAUUCAACAACUGAAGUAUUUCCUCACUCAUGCACGUAUUUUGGUAUUCCCAGAGAAUAGUGGUAAUCAUAAAUUUUUAGUGAUGUUUCUUGAAUGGUAUUGGAGGCAUGUUGAUGCAAAUGUUAGGGGUGAUUGCAUACGUUUCACGAUAAAUGGAAUCUCAUAAGAUGAAUUACCCUACUGGUGAUUUGGAAGUCACGAUUACCAUUCUUGCUGUGAAGUUAUGGAGACAUUAUAUUUUAGUGGGAAUGCAAGAUUUUUUUUUACGAAUCCAAAAAGUCUUCAAUAUCCAUUACUUGGAAGGAAUUUGAUAUGAGGCAGCGAAAGUGAAUUGUAUUGCUUAAUGAACAUGAUUGUACGAUCAGGGUGAUCGUAAAGUUUGUUCUAGCUGAAGCACUUGGUGAGAAGACUACAGUAAGAUUAAUAUCUGGCACGUUUGCCAAGAGUAUCAUUUUGUGGAUUGAAAACCAACGGAAGAAAAAUUAAGAAUGGAAGAUCGAGAAGAAGUUAUACUUGUUAAGUAACAAGUUAGUACAUUUACCCCAGUGUUGAGUAACAACCUUUCCCAGACAGUGCAACACUACUUAUUUGUUUUAUGGAAAAGAGAAUUGGAUUACGGAACUGCUAAGUUUUCUUAAGUAUGUUGGUUGUGCAGUUUCCGAAGUAACGCCAUAUAAGGACCAUGAAAUGUGUCACGUGAGUCGGUUUUUGAUGACUUGUGAAUGGAAUGUUUCUGGGUAGAGAAAGAUUCGAUCGAGAAAGAGUUUUAGUAGACCCUGAGACUAUGGAUGAGUCUCCUCAAAGUAUUCAGGUGAUUAAGUUAACCUGAAGUAACCAGGAAUGGCAAAAGAGAUCAACAGAUGGAUAUGCCACUAAUCGAGUGUGUAAGGUAAAUGGUUUGAUAUUUUUGGAAAAUUCACCACGAACAGAAAUGAAGAGAAUUGGAAAAGAGACAAGAUAAGAUUUAAACACAUCAGACCGUUUUGAUCAUUAAAAGAAUCGAUGAAGCUGCAUACAAGUUUGUGAUGCCUUCAGAAUUGGCUAAGGCACAUAAUGUAUUUUGUGUUCGAUGCGUUGUCACUAGGUGGCAGAUUUGUCACAUGGGAUUAUGGUGUAACUAUUGAGAAUUAAAUUGGAUUCGACUUGAUAAGGAACCAAGGACGACUUUGGAUUGGAAAAAGAAGGUCCUGAGAAUUAAGACAGAGUAAGUAGUAAAAGCUUUGUGAAGGAAAUCAUUCAGUAGAAAAGUAUGUGGGAGAAAGAGAAUCGGAUGAGAAAGAUUUACCCGAAGCUAUUGUUGGAGUAUGGUUGAUUUAGUUGGUUGCUGGAAUUUCGGGGACGAAAUUCUAUAAGGAGGAAAGAUUGUCACAGCCCGUCCCGGAAUUUUAAUUCCGAGGACAUGAAAAGACGAAAAUGCCCUUAAACGGGACUAAGGGGCGAAAAUUUAACAAUUUGGAUUGAGUUGGACACGUGGGAUCCCCACAUCCCUCAAAACCUUCCCCAAUUCCCGUACCUUGUCUCUCUAUCUCUCUUCCCUCACGACUCUCUCUCACUCUCAGUUCUCUCUCUUCCUCUCCGACGCUCAACCUCACCCAAAACCACCUAAAACAUAAACAAACGUCCAAGAUUUAAGACCACCAUUUGGACUCCUGGAACUUCCACGAUCACGUAGAGACACCAAUUUCAGGUAAGUUUUGCUUCGAAAAACCCUAGUUUCUAAAGUUCCCGUGAAAUGGUACUGUUCAUGAUCUUUUAAAUGGUUACGAUUUUAGGCUAAAACAAGAUCACAGCGAGAGCUUAGUGAGGUCCCAAGGAAGCUCGGAGUGCUUUCGUUGGAAGUUUUUGGACGUAAAGAACACGGAGAUCGACAAGUUCAAAGUUUGGCCGGAGCUUUCGAGGCAUUUUCCGGCGAAUCCCCGGCGAGUUAGGAGUCGAGGUAGGUAUCAAUCUCUUCGUCUCGUCAAGUACUACAACUUUCCUUUUUUUUUUCACUCAAUUUCGUUGAGUAUUGAAGAAGUUAUACUCAUUUGAAAAAUACCCAGUUUCCGGCGACCUCCGAGGCUUUCGAGGCAGUUUCCGGCCAAACCACGGCGAACUAGGUGUUGUGCAAGGUACCAUUCUCUUUGUCUCUUCAAGGGCUACAACUUUCGUUUUUGAAUCACUUGAUUUCGUUGAGAAAUGACAAAGUUAUGGCAAUUUGAAAAACUGCCCAGAAAACGGCCGCCGGAAAAACCAGUCCGGCGACCCAAGGAAGAAGAAGGUGCUACAGUAAAAAAUAAAAAAUAAAAAUAAAAUUAUUUUAAAAAAUAUGUCGACGUCCGUGACGUCGAGUAGAUCACUGUGGUAUAUUCAUAUACCUAAAUUGAACACCGUAUGAGAAAGUUAUUGAAGAUUGUUGGUUAGGUGUUCAAAUAACGUUUUAUAGUUUUCACAUUUAGGUGAAAAUGUGAAUUGAUGAUCCGACCGUUGGAUCGUCACCAAACUUUGAUACGUUGUAAUACGUAAUAUUUGAGGAUUAUUGGAACUUACGGAUUGGGAAUCCGAGUUACGGAUCUUCCGGAAUUGGAAUUGUAAGUCCAUAAUAUAAAAUGUUAACCGUCACUUAGUUUUGGAAAUUGACGGAGAUCCGACCGUUGGAUGGUAAUGAAAUUUUAGGAUGUUAUCCUAGAGGAUAUAUUGUGGACCUCUGGAAGUUAUGGAUUUAAAAUCUGAGUGGCAGAUCUUCCGGAUCGAACUACGUAGUGACGUAUUUUUAUAUAAGUUAUAUAUUCUAUCGAUAUGAAUUCUGAGGUUGGAUUUGAUUACUAUUCUAGGCGGCGAUCGUCGUGACGCCUUGAUGUGUGGUGCUAGGGAGUUGUUGGACGAACUCCAGGUGAGUGGGCAGUUUUGUUUUCCGUAUAUAUAUAUAUAUACUUAACGUUUUCCCAGAAAUUGAAAAAUGCAUGAAAUUAUGUUUUAAAAUGAAAUGCAUAUGAGUUAUGUGGAAAAACGGGAAGUGAAAUACCAUGCAUAGAAUUGAUAUGAAAAGUAUAUAGAAAUGUGAGUUGAAAUGCCAUGCAUGAAUUAAUAUAUGAUGCAUAUGUAUGAAUUGGUGCGGUGGACGCACAGGUAAGAAUUGAUUUAUGAUGCAUAUGUAUGAAAUGGUGCGGUGGACGCACAGAUGAGUAUUUAAUUACUGUUAUGAUGAUGAUGAUAUAUAUUGAGCUCAAAUCCUGCACCAUGGUUUAGUGCUUAUAGUAUUCACCGCAUCGCACGCUCGCCUUGGAUCCAAGUAGAUGCUAGUCGUACAGUCCACGCGGAGUGGGUACGACAGACCAGUCGCGAGAGUGUUAGUGAGAUUCCGACUGGUGGGUGACCUUAGAUUAUGUGCACAGAUGAUUUAUGAGAAAGCACUAGAGCGUAACUUGUGUGCAGAAGGCCGGACGGGUCACAGAGGUGACUCCGGUAGAGUGAUAAUGAUAGAUUUUGAGCUCUAGGUUCAACCGUAUAGGGCUAUUAGAGGGCCUACGGUUGAUUACUUUCUUGCACCUGAUAUGAUUAUGUUGAUGCAUUCAUACCUUAUUACUGUUGAGAUGAUGUGGCAUGGCAUAAUUAAUAUGAGAAAUGUUGAGAUGACAUGGCAUGGCAUGAUUGAUAAAGAAAAAUGUUGAGAUAGUAAAAAUGAAGUUUGAGAAUAUAUAUGUAUAUUUAUAUUUUACAUUUCUGGGAAAGUAUACAGGUUUUACGGAGAGGGGUUACAACGUUUUGAGAAAUGUUUGGAUUUGGAAAAGAAUUGUUUUACUGACCCACUCAAUUUUGGUUUUGCGCCCCUCCAGGUUCAGGAAUCACAAAGGUGUGGUGACUACGAGGAAUUCGACGGUGUUCUGACAGAUUGGACAAAAUUAGGACUCACCUUCGGGUGUAUCAAUUUAAAUUGUAUCUUAAAGCUUCCGUACUGUGCAAAUGGUUACGUCACUCUCACGUGACGGCCAGCAUGCCCUCCUUCGGGACGGGGUGUGUCAAUAAUACUAUUAGAAACGGUUACAAUAAAAAAAUUCAAACAUUUUGAUUUAAUAAAUGGAUAAAAACUAUGGAAAAAUAAGAAAUAAUAAAUGGCAAAAGAAUGUAUCCAUAGUGUUAAAAAAACUGGUACAUUUUACAAAAAAAAUAGGUACAUUUCACAUAUAACAAAGAGGU